rnacentral:rRNA from 1 species
UACGGAGGGUGCGAGCGUUGUCCGGAAUCACUGGGCGUAAAGGGCGCGUAGGUGGCGGCCCAAGUCAACGGUGAAAGCUCGGCGCUCAACGCCGAGUCGGCCGUCGAUACUGGGUUGCUCGAGCACUGUAGAGGCAGAUGGAAUUCCGGGUGUAGCGGUGGAAUGCGUAGAGAUCCGGAAGAACACCGGUGGCGAAGGCGGUCUGCUGGGCAGUAGCUGACACUGAGGCGCGACAGCGUGGGGAGCAAACAGG